rnacentral:tRNA from 1 species
GUGAUUAUAGUUUAUUAUAAAAAUAUUAUUUUUGUAAAAUAAAGAAAAUUUUUAAGUUUGGUCACU